rnacentral:rRNA from 1 species
UACGAAGGGAGCAAGCGUUGUUCGGAAUUACUGGGCGUAAAGGGUGUGUAGGCGGUUCGACAAGUCAGAUGUGAAAGCCCCGGGCUCAACCUGGGAACUGCGUUUGAUACUGUCGGGCUCGAAUUCGGUAGAGGUGAGUGGAAUUCCCAGUGUAGAGGUGAAAUUCGUAGAGAUUGGGAAGAACACCGGUGGCGAAGGCGGCUCACUGGACCGACAUUGACGCUGAAACACGAAAGCGUGGGGAGCAAACAGGAUUAGAUACCCUGGUAGUCCACGCCGUAAACGAUGUAUGCUAGACGUUUGAGGGUUCGCCCUUGGGUGUCGCAGCUAACGCAUUAAGCAUACCGCCUGGGGAGUACGGCCGCAAGGUUGAA